UGGGGAAUUUUGGACAAUGGGCGAAAGCCUGAUCCAGCAAUGCCGCGUGUGUGAAGAAGGCCUUCGGGUUGUAAAGCACUUUUGUCCGGAAAGAAAUCCUUGGCUCUAAUACAGUCGGGGGAUGACGGUACCGGAAGAAUAAGCACCGGCUAACUACGUGCCAGCAGCCGCGGUAAUACGUAGGGUGCAAGCGUUAAUCGGAAUUACUGGGCGUAAAGCGUGCGCAGGCGGUUUGCUAAGACCGAUGUGAAAUCCCCGGGCUCAACCUGGGAACUGCAUUGGUGACUGGCAGGCUAGAGUAUGGCAGAGGGGGGUAGAAUCCCACGUGUAGCAGUGAAAUGCGUAGAGAUGUGGAGGAAUACCGAUGGCGAAGGCAGCCCCCUGGGCCAAUACUGACGCUCAUGCACGAAAGCGUGGGGAGCAAACAGGAUUAGAUACCCUGGUAGUUCACGCCCUAAACGAUGUCAACUAGUUGUUGGGGACUUCAUUUCCUUAGUAACGUAGCUAACGCGUGAAGUUGACCGCCUGGGGAGUACGGUCGCAAGAUUAAAACUCAAAGGAAUUGACGGGGUCAUAGCUGUUUCCU
rnacentral:rRNA from 1 species